rnacentral:rRNA from 1 species
UCGGGAAUUUUGGGCAAUGGGCGAAAGCCUGACCCAGCAACGCCGCGUGAAGGAUGAAGUAUUUCGGUAUGUAAACUUCGAAAGAAUAGGAAGAAUAAAUGACGGUACUAUUUAUAAGGUCCGGCUAACUACGUGCCAGCAGCCGCGGUAAUACGUAGGGACCAAGCGUUGUUCGGAUUUACUGGGCGUAAAGGGCGCGUAGGCGGCGUGACAAGUCACUUGUGAAAUCUCUGGGCUUAACCCAGAACGGCCAAGUGAAACUGUUGUGCUAGAGUGCAGAAGGGGCAAUCGGAAUUCUCGGUGUAGCGGUGAAAUGCGUAGAUAUCGAGAGGAACACCAGAGGUGAAGACGGGUUGCUGGGCUGACACUGACGCUGAGGCGCGAAAGCCAGGGGAGCAAACGG